rnacentral:rRNA from 1 species
UUACCCAAUCCUGACACAGGGAGGUAGUGACAAGAAAUAACAAUACGGGGCUUAAUGUCUUGUAAUUGGAAUGAUGGGAAUUUAAACCUCUUCCAGAGUAUCAAUUGGAGGGCAAGUCUGGUGCCAGCAGCCGCGGUAAUUCCAGCUCCAAUAGCGUAUAUUAAAAUUGUUGCAGUUAAAAAGCUCGUAGUUGAAUUUCUGCUGCAUUACAUUUCUCUUGUUUGAGUUUGUUUUUGUGGCUUAUUUCGGAUUGAUUUUUUUAUCUUUCCGGAUGAUUACUUUGAGAAAAUUAGAGUGCUCAAAGCAGGCUUUUGCCUUGAAUAGUUUAGCAUGGAAUAAUAAAGUAGGACUUUGGUUCUAUUUUGUUGGUUUUAGGUACCAAAGUAAUGGUUAAUAGGAACAGUUGGGGGCAUUCGUAUUUAACUGUCAGAGGUGAAAUUCUUAGAUUUGUUAAAGACGAACUACUGCGAAAGCAUUUGCCAAGGAUGUUU